UACGUAGGGGGCAAGCGUUGUCCGGAAUCAUUGGGCGUAAAGAGCGCGUAGGCGGCCCAGUCAGUCCGCUGUGAAAGUCAAGGGCUCAACCCUUGGAUGCCGGUGGAUACUGCUGGGCUAGAGUCCGGAAGAGGCGAGUGGAAUUCCUAGUGUAGAGGUGAAAUUCGUAGAUAUUAGGAAGAACACCAGUGGCGAAGGCGGCUCACUGGCCCGGUACUGACGCUGAGGCGCGAAAGCGUGGGGAGCAAACAGG
rnacentral:rRNA from 1 species